AUUCCUUACUAAAACCUUGAUGUUUUCUUCUUCACCAUUUUUUCUCUCUUUCUCUUCUUUUCUCACUAAUUUAUAUCUCUCUCUCUCGCUCUAAACCUUUGAAAAAUGGAAGAAAUGGAAGUGUGGAGAAGAAGGGAAGGUGAAGGAAAAUUUAUAGAAUUUCAGAAUAGUUGGAUUCGUGCCAAAUUACUAAAUCCAGUGAAGAGAGAGGAUAAAAAGAUU
rnacentral:lncRNA from 1 species